GCUUGUUGAUCCGCUCCGCUCCGCUCCGUCCUGCGCCCUCGGAUCUGCCGGAGCGGGGAGAGAGCUGUGUGGCGGCGGGGGCCUGCUGGGCCGCCCGUGUGGGCCGCAGUGUCUGCGGGAUAACAGCCCGCGUAAAUCUUGUUCUCUGUGUGUGGGGUUACUGCGAAAUAAUUGCCUGCCCGUGGUGAGAUCUGGUUCUCUUCAGAUCUGCCGUCAGUUCAGCUCAGUUCUUCGGGAGUCCGUGAAGCUGCUCCAUGUUGGAUCUGUAGGAUGAGAAGCCAAAUGACAAGCCAGGCCCAGGAAGAACGUUGCUUAAGGCUGACAAGCAAUUGCCAAAGCCAACCUCUGGGAGCUCUCCAAGAAAAGAUCAAAACUUUCCUGUGAGAUUGCAUCUACUGCUGCCAGAAUCUGCAGUUGGAACUUUCCCAGAACAUGUUCAGUUUGAUGCAAUACCUGUUCCUGACGUCCUGCAAUAUGCGGUCUGCACUUUGCUUGGAAUAAAUGCAUCUGGUGAUGGACAGUUUCUUAAAUGUGAGUGUAUUCAGGCUUUUAAUUCUGCUGCUUCUCAUAUAACCUUAUUUUUUUCAGAAGAUGAUGUGUCAGAACUGGUAAAGUGGCCUCAACUGCCAUAGCUUAAAGCUGAAUUAUCUGUACAGUUUAUUGCAUAGCAGAAUGUAAGACACUAUCUUUACAUUUUGAAUUACACUUAUUUCAAAAAGAUUUUCAAACCAAAUAUACAUCAUUGAAAUUUAAAUAGGUAUACAUUUGGUUAAACUGGGAAAAAUAUCCUGUUCAAAUGAUUUCAAGACUUUUGCAAUAGAUAUGUAGAAGAAAGUCAGUGAGAAACAAUAGCUAUGAUGUAUUCUAUGUAAUAGAUGCUUUAAUAUUAGAUACUUACACCAUUCUUGUGUGCGCUAGAAUGUCAACCUCUUUUUGUAUUUACAGCAGUAUGGUUUCCUCACACCUUUCAAAGGCCCACAUCGUGACAGUUCAUGCAUGAACUCUUUCCCACUCUAUCAGUAUAGAUUACAUUCUUGAUAACUAACAUAUCAUAAAGAACUAUCUUCUAGUUACAGUUUGUUUCAAAACCAGGCUGACAUGGAACAGAGAUCAAACAAAAUCUGUAUACACGGACCUAGUUUGAAAAAGCUAAGGAUCUGUAGUGCGUUCUGAUGACAUACUCUGCAGAAACUUAAUUGGCACAUUGUUGGUGUCUAACUUAAAAUGCGCUGCACAGCUACAGUACAGAAGAUUAUUAGAAAUAACUGAGUAAGCAGACUGUCAUCUCAGGAAAGAUGGUAAGAACUAUCAGAAUUAUCUUGAAUACACAUGUGUCUUUGACCUGACUACGUCAAGCUGUUAAUCAUACAGGCUGGAUGCAUUUCACGUUAUACACACAUCACGUUGAUUCUUUAAACACAGUCUGUAUGUUUCAGGAACUUAAUCAAAAUGAGUUUACUUAGGGAAUGGGAUCAAGGAAGGAAGGGAGUGAGUAGAAACACCUUCUCUAGAAAUCUUUGUGUUUAUUUUCAGAAGGCAAUGGAGUGUGGAUGAAUAUCUUGAAGAGGUCAGUAGCUACUUCCUUUUUUUUUUUCCCCCCCUAGAGGAAAUGGAAUGGACACAGAUUCACAAGCAUAUUUUUUCAAGAGAAAGAAUCAGACAUAGAUGGCUAAGUGGCCAGAAUGUCACACUGAAGAUGGAGGUCUCCUUACCUCUAGUCUGUUCCAGAUGCUAUUAUAUGUCAAACUAAAAAAAAAAAAAAAUCUCAUUAAACAGAAACUCACGUGAUAAAUAAAAAUGUCAUAUGGAAAAACAAAAUAUGUAUUCAUCUUUUAUUAGAGUCAUAUUUUCAAAACUGUUUCUUUAACACUGACAAAUAUCUCAGUGAUGUUAAAAUGUCUGUAUGAGCAACUUUUCCAAGGUAAGAUCUUAUUUUCCUGCAUAUCCUGACUGACUUUGUGGACUUCUUUCCAUAGUGCUUGGGUUGGGUUUUUUUGCCAGUUUAAUUAGCAGCUGCAAGUUAGCAAGCUUUUGGUUAUAAUCUGAACUCAGUUAACUGUUCUGCAGGUGGUGUUUGGGGAUUUAUGUGUAGAACUAAAGAUUUGGAAGACUGGACGUAAUUUUCAAAAUUCUCCUUUAUCUGGUGAUUUGGAUUGAUCUUUGAAGAUUGCUCUGUUUGUUUUCAUUACUGAAGCAGGAAAUUCAUAAACAGUUCACACUACUUCAAAACACGAGCAAAACAGGCUAUUUUGCAGGGAACCAGUUUGAUAAAAUUACAUUUUAGUGUGAAUAGGUUCACACUGCAAAAAUCAAACAUGACUUAAGUUUUGUGCAGGAACAGGAAUCUUACUGUGGAACUUAAGAGUAUUCAUGAUGUUAUUUUUGUUGAAAGUGCUUCUGUUUUUUACAAAUGAUAAAAUUAUUCCAGAAGGAGAAUCUGUGCAUUUUAUAAUACAUUAGAGAAAAAGAAGAAAUGUAUAGAUGUAUUACUUCCCAGGGUCUGGUCUUCUGAGUCAUUCUUCCGAAUGGAGUACCAUAGUCUCCAGUGCAAAACAAGAAAUGCUGACACGAUUUUGUCACAGUGAACAAACCAUCAGAGAAUUCAGCAUCCAGAUGUUACAUGGAUCAAUAUAUCAUUGAUCCACAACAAUUUAAAGCAAGAGGGUAAUAAAUUGAGUUUUUUAUACUUUUUGCUUCUAUUAAGCUUUGAGUACAACAAAUUUUUCUAGUCUCCAUCCUCUCAUUUAAAAAAGAA